UAUUUAUCACAAAUUGCAUAGAGAAAAAAAUCACAAAAUCAAUUGGACAUUUAUUAUAGUCCACCAGCAUACCAAUUUACUGAAAAUCAAGCUCAUAUACUAAUAUAAUAUAGUAUUAAGUACUGAGUUUGCUUGUAUUUCUAACUUGAGAUACCACCCGCAAAGACCAUUCCACCAAAUGACCAAGCAAUGCCUUUGACACCAACUGUGGAGCAUUUGCUGGGAGAUUUAUCCACAACCAAUUUACCUCGCAUGUACUAAAAAAUAAGUGUUCUAAACCAGCGCCAAGAUUUCCUCUUCCCUUUUAUAAGAGUCGCCAAGCACCCAUAAAUCAUUACAGACGACUUAUCCAAUGGAAACAAAACCUAAAACGCAAGGGAAAGAAGAUGUUAUACAUUGAUUAACCCAAAAAGAUUCAAUUUUAUAGCAUCGACCAGUCAAAUGAGUUUUUAAUUUAUCUCAAAAUAAGCCUUUCUCAGACAAUAACAGAACACAGUUAAUUCAUAAAUUUUAUUGCAUUUUUACGCGUUGAUGAUGGCGAGGGAGACAGCGCCAACUUCUUGUUCUCCAAUUCGUCAUUAAUAGGACUGCCUCUGCCCCAAACUCUAACCUUCUCCAAGAUCAAGGGUUCCCCAUGGAAAGCAUGGUGUCCUUCAUCCUCUUCCCUACCGGUCCUUCGUCAUUAAGUUCGGGAUCUUCGUCGGCAUUCUCAUCAGAUAUGUAGGGAAUUUUAAGGCCAUCGACUUUGAGAAGUGAAGCUCCAUUGGAGUUGGAAGAAACCAAACUAGAGUUUUGGAGUUGGAAAAAACCAUUCAGAAUUUGGGAUUUUCAACCUGCAAAGAACAAAGACGGGUCUGUGAGCCAUAGAGAACAGAAAGAGCGACGCUAACAUCAACAAGAGAGAAGAGGGCGUGAUAUGAGCAGCUAAAGAGCACAAGAGUGUCGAGGCAUGAAGAUGAUGGUUCGAGAAACGAAGAUGAUGGCUCCAAACAGGGAGAGGAAAGGCUCGAGAAGAAUGGCUCGAUGAGAAGAAGGGUUCGAUGACAGGGAACACUAGAGAAGAAGGGUUGGAGAACAAUGGCUCGGUGAGAGGAAAGGAGUUAUUACCUCGAUUUAACCAGGCAAAAGCUCCAGACCAGAAGAAAUCAACAAUGGAAGAAGGUGCAGCGGAAUGAUGAAAAUAAUGAAGUGUUUGAAGUGUUUUAAUGGAGGAGAGGUG
rnacentral:sRNA from 1 species